rnacentral:lncRNA from 1 species
CUGUGAGCCGCCGCUUGGAGGGGAGCUGCGAAACGAUCGCAGCGCGCGGGGUGGCGAGUAGUGAGUUGAGCCAGCGUGUGUUGUGAUAGCAUUUUGUAUGAGAAACAAUAGACGGUAUGUGGAAUUACACUUGUUGUGCUGUUAACUGCAAAAAUAACGGUAAAACUAGUGAUUGUAUAUUUUACAAGUUUCCAACUGCAUCACAUAAAAUAGUUCAAAGGCAAAAAUGGAUUGCUGCUGUGAAAAGAAAAAAUCCUGAUGGUUCAAAGUGGACUCCAAAAACUCAUCAUGUAAUAUGUAAUGCUCAUUUCAUUGGCAAGAAAAAAUCAGAUGAUCCUGCGAGUCCAAGCUACGCGCCAACUCUAUUCCCUCCAGUUUA